rnacentral:misc_RNA from 1 species
GAUGAAGAACGCAGCGAAUUGCGAUAAGUAAUGUGAAUUGCAGAUUUUCAGUGAAUCAUCGAAUCUUUGAACGCACAUUGCGCUCCCUGGUAUUCCGGGGAGCAUGCCUGUUCGAGCGUCAUUACAACCCUCAAGCUCUGCUUGGUGUUGGGCCCCGCCGCCCCGGCGGGCCCUAAAGUCAGUGGCGGUGCCGUCCGGCUCCGAGCGUAGUAAUUUUUCUCGCUUUGGAGGCCCGGGCGCGUGCUUGCCAUCAACCCCCAAUUUUUUUCAGGUUGACCUCGGAUCAGGUAGGGAUACCCGCUGAACUUAAGCAUAUCAAUAAGCGGAGGA